UACGUAGGGGCCAAGCGUUGUCCGGAUUUAUUGGGCGUAAAGCGCUCGUAGGCGGUUGGGUAAGUCGGGUGUGAAAACUCCAGGCUCAACUUGGAGACGCCAUCCGAUACUGCUCUGACUUGAGUUCGGUAGGGGAGUGGGGAAUUCCUGGUGUAGCGGUGGAAUGCGCAGAUAUCAGGAGGAACACCAAUAGCGAAGGCAGCUCGCUGGGACGGUACUGACGCUGAGGCGCGAAAGCGUGGGGAGCAAACAGG
rnacentral:rRNA from 1 species